rnacentral:rRNA from 1 species
CCUACGGGAGGCAGCAGUAGGGAAUCUUUCACAAUGGGCGAAAGCCUGAUGGAGCAACGCCGCGUGCAGGAUGAAGGCCUUCGGGUUGUAAACUGCUUUUAUAAGCGAGCAAUAUGAUGGUAUCUUACGAAUAAGGAUCGGCUAACUACGUGCCAGCAGCCGCGGUCAUACGUAGGAUCCGAGCAUUAUCCGGAGUGACUGGGUGUAAAGAGUGGCGUAGGUGGCAUAAUAAGUAGCUAGUGAAAUCUGUUGGCUCAAACAUUCAGACUAUUAGCUAAACUGUUAAGCUAGAGACCGAUAGGGGUAAGUGGAAUUUCUAGUGUAGGAGUAAAAUCCGUAGAUAUUAGAAAGAACACCAAUAGCGUAGGCAGGUUACUGGAACGGUUCUGACACUAAGGCACGAAAGCGUAGGGAGCAAACGGGAUUAGAUACCCCAGUAGUC